rnacentral:rRNA from 1 species
CCUACGGGUGGCAGCAGUGGGGAAUAUUGCACAAUGGGGGAAACACUGAUGCAGCGACGCCGCGUGAGCGAUGAAGUAUUUCAGUAUGUAAAGCCCUAUCAGCCGGGAAGAAAAUGCCGGGACCUGACUAAGAAGCCCCGGCUAACUACGUGCCAGCAGCCGCGGUAAUACGCAGGGGGCAAGCGUUAUCCGGAGUUACUGGGUGUAAAGGGAGAGUAGACGGCGUUGCAAGGCAGAUGGGAACGCCCUGGGCUCAACCCCGGGACUGCAGUUGGAACUGUGCGGCGAGAGGGUGGGAGAGGCAGGCGGAAUGCCUGGGGUAGCGGUGAAAUGCGUAGAUAUUGGGAAGAACUCCAGUGGCGAAGGCGGCCUGCUGGACGAUGACUGACGUGGAGGCUCGAAAGCGUGGGGAGCAAACAGGAUUAGAUACCCCAGUAGUC